GGCUGGUCCAAAGGUAGUGAGUUAUCUCAAUGGAUUGUUCAUAGGUCUGCUACAGAUGAAACUCCUUGUUCUACUCUUUCCUCCUUCUCACUACUGCACUUGUCUAGUCUUAA
rnacentral:Y_RNA from 1 species